GAUGAACGCUGGCGGCGUGCCUAAUACAUGCAAGUCGAGCGAACAGAUAAGGAGCUUGCUCCUUUGACGUUAGCGGCGGACGGGUGAGUAACACGUGGGUAACCUACCUAUAAGACUGGGAUAACUUCGGGAAACCGGAGCUAAUACCGGAGAAUAUUUCGAACCGCAUGGUUCGAUAGUGAAAGAUGGUUUUGCUAUCACUUAUAGAUGGACCCGCGCCGUAUUAGCUAGUUGGUAAGGUAACGGCUUACCAAGGCGACGAUACGUAGCCGACCUGAGAGGGUGAUCGGCCACACUGGAACUGAGACACGGUCCAGACUCCUACGGGAGGCAGCAGUAGGGAAUCUUCCGCAAUGGGCGAAAGCCUGACGGAGCAACGCCGCGUGAGUGAUGAAGGUCUUCGGAUCGUAAAACUCUGUUAUUAGGGAAGAACAUAAGUGUAAGUAACUGUGCACGUCUUGACGGUACCUAAUCAGAAAGCCACGGCUAACUACGUG
rnacentral:rRNA from 1 species